rnacentral:rRNA from 1 species
ACCUGCGGAGGGAUCAUUACUGAGUGAGGGCCUUCGGGCUCGACCUCCAACCCUUUGUGAACACAACUUGUUGCUUCGGGGGCGACCCUGCCGUUUCGACGGCGAGCGCCCCCGGAGGCCUUCAAACACUGCAUCUUUGCGUCGGAGUUUAAGUAAAUUAAACAAAACUUUCAACAACGGAUCUCUUGGUUCUGGCAUCGAUGAAGAACGCAGCGAAAUGCGAUAAGUAAUGUGAAUUGCAGAAUUCAGUGAAUCAUCGAAUCUUUGAACGCACAUUGCGCCCCUUGGUAUUCCGAGGGGCAUGCCUGUUCGAGCGUCAUUUCACCACUCAAGCCUCGCUUGGUAUUGGGCGCCGCGGUGUUCCGCGCGCCUCAAAGUCUCCGGCUGAGCUGUCCGUCUCUAAGCGUUGUGAUUUCAUUAAUCGCUUCGGAGCGCGGGCGGUCGCGGCCGUUAAAUCUUUCACAAGGUUGACCUCGGAUCAGGUAGGGAUACCCGCUGAACUUAAGCAUAUCAAAA